AUAGAAACAAUAGGGCCGGAUGGCCCUAUUGGUGAUUGAAACUUAAAUUUUGUCCACAAAAUUUAAAACAUCAAUAUUUGGCCAUCUUUUAUGUGCUCUACCUAAUUUACCCUUUAACCCAAUAGAUCCAACAACUUUCUUUGACCCGGAUUCAGAUUUAGGGAUUAACCCAUGCCUUGUCUACCCCCAGACCCCCGACCCUACCCACCCCCCC
rnacentral:lncRNA from 1 species